AACGAACGCUGGCGGCAGGCCUAACACAUGCAAGUCGAACGGGACCUUCGGGUCUAGUGGCGGACGGGUGAGUAACGCGUGGGAACGUGCCCUUUGGUUCGGAAUAGCCCCGGGAGACUGGGAGUAAUACCGGAUAAGCCCUACGGGGGAAAGAUUUAUCGCCAAAGGAUCGGCCCGCGUUGGAUUAGGUAGUUGGUGAGGUAAUGGCUCACCAAGCCGACGAUCCAUAGCUGGUUUGAGAGGAUGAUCAGCCACACUGGGACUGAGACACGGCCCAGACUCCAGCGGGGGGCAGUAGGGGGAAUUUUAAGACAAGGGGGGAACCCCUUAUCUGGCCAGGCCGUGUAAUAGAUAAGGCCUUUAGUGUUGAAAAGAUCUUUGGGGGGGAAAUAUAAUGCCUGUACCCAAAGAAAAGGCCCCGCUUAACCCCGUGCCAGCGGCCGCAGUAA
rnacentral:rRNA from 1 species